CACGUAGGGUGCGAGCGUUGUUCGGAAUUACUGGGCGUAAAGGGCUCGUAGGCGGCCAACUAAGUCAGACGUGAAAUCCCUCGGCUUAACCGGGGAACUGCCUCUGAUACUGGAUGGCUUGAGAUUGGGAGAGGGAUGCGGAAUUCCAGGUGUAGCGGUGAAAUGCGUAGAUAUCUGGAGGAACACCGGUGGCGAAGGCGGCAUCCUGGACCAACACUGACGCUGAGGAGCGAAAGCCAGGGGAGCAAACGGG
rnacentral:rRNA from 1 species